rnacentral:rRNA from 1 species
AUUGAACGCUGGCGGCAUGCCUUACACAUGCAAGUCGAACGGCAGCACGGGAGCAAUCCUGGUGGCGAGUGGCGAACGGGUGAGUAAUAUAUCGGAACGUGCCCAGUCGUGGGGGAUAACGCAGCGAAAGCUGUGCUAAUACCGCAUACGAUCUAUGGAUGAAAGCGGGGGAUCGCAAGACCUCGCGCGAAUGGAGCGGCCGAUAUCAGAUUAGCUAGUUGGUGAGGUAAAGGCUCACCAAGGCGACGAUCUGUAGCUGGUCUGAGAGGACGACCAGCCACACUGGAACUGAGACACGGUCCAGACUCCUACGGGAGGCAGCAGUGGGGAAUUUUGGACAAUGGGCGCAAGCCUGAUCCAGCAAUGCCGCGUGCAGGAUGAAGGCCUUCGGGUUGUAAACUGCUUUUGUACGGAACGAAACGGUGAGCUCUAAUACAGUUUGCUAAUGACGGUACCGUAAGAAUAAGCACCGGCUAACUACGUGCCAGCAGCCGCCGUAAGAC